UACCCAAAUCGGCGCCCCCCUUCCCCGUCUCUGCCCGCAUCCUUUACCCCAAACUCACCGGAAAAACUUGCCAACCCGGCGAGUUAACUCAUGGUCCCCCUUUCCCUUCUCUCUUUCUUCCACGUGGCCUGACAAAUAACCGAUUUUGGUUCGAAUCUACGUUGUAUUUUGCUCUCUCAUACGUGAAUCUCUUUCAACGAUAGAUGAUGGACGAAGGGUAGGAUAUGAUUAAUGAAAAUUAAUCAUACCCCUCCAUUUGUCCAGAUUUUUACCAAAAAGAAGGAAAUUUUCGGAAUUUUGGUGGGAUUUUCGGAUUUUUGAAGGGUUUUUGCUAUUUCUUGCAAAGGAAGGAGAGAAGCUUCGAGAGAGGGCUAUAUAUUUGGGUCUGGACAGAGAUUGAAAGGGGGUAUUUCUUGACAGAAAAAGCUAGGGUUUUAGGUUUUUAUUUUGAGUCCUUUAUUUUCGGAAAGAUCCGAAAAAACUAACACAAAAUAUAUGUUUUCAUCCCUUUACUGCUUUUCAAUUUUUGAGUUUCAAUUUGAGUUUUGGUAUUGAAUCGAGGUCGCUCGAGUCGUCGAUUGCUUGCCAGUUGAGGUCCGUUCGAGAUCGCGAGUUCCUCUUUCUUGGAUGUUGUUUGUCGUGGAUCUUCACUGCCAUAUUUAAGUGUAUUUGAUUGCGAUCAGAAUUAAUUAAGAGCGCUUUCAGAGCUUUUGGAGACUGAGUCCAAAGAUGAGGGCCUCCCGGAGUAGGAUUUUUACGCUGUUGAGAUCCAUGUGAGUUAGAGCGCGGCGAUCGCUAAGUUCAGGUCGGCUAUCUUUGGAGACUGUAAGGUAGCCGCUAGUGUCCGCAGGGCCUUGUUACUCCUCUUAUCAUUUCUUCUUUUGGACAGUUAGAUAGUUUAUAUAUCUUAGUUUACAGUUUUAGACACUCAUGACUUAGUGACACCAUGAUGUUUGGGACUCGUUUUCGUAUUUUAUAUUAGUUAUAUUUAGAGUU